GGGCCCGCACAAGCGGAGGAACAUGUGGUUUAAUUCGAUGAUACGCGAGGAACCUUACCCGGGCUUGAAAUGCAUCUGAAUAACCCAGAGACGGGUUAGUCGCAAGACAGAUGUGUAGGUGCUGCAUGGUUGUCGUCAGCUCGUGCCGUGAGGUGUCGGCUUAAGUGCCAUAACGAGCGCAACCCUUACCGUUAGUUACCAUCAGGUCAUGCUGGGUACUCUAGUGGGACUGCCGUCGUAAGAUGUGAGGAAGGUUGGGAUGACGUCAAAUCAGCACGGCCCUUACGUCCGGGGCUACACACGUGUUACAAUGGGGGGUACAGAGAGUUGCUUGCUGGUGACAGUUGGCUAAUCUUUUAAAGCCUCUCUCAGUUCGGAUCGAAGUCUGCAACCCGACUUCGUGAAGCUGGAUUCGCUAGUAAUCGCGCCAUCAGCCACGGCG
rnacentral:rRNA from 1 species